rnacentral:rRNA from 1 species
CCUACGGGGGGCAGCAGUGAGGAAUAUUGGUCAAUGGGCGCGAGCCUGAACCAGCCACGUAGCGUGAAGGAUGACUGCCCUACGGGUUGUAAACUUCUUUUAUAAAGGAAUAAAGUGAGGCACGGGUGCCUUUUUGUAUGUAUUUUAUGAAUAAGGAUCGGCUAACUCCGUGCCAGCAGCCUCGGUAAUACGGAGGAUCCGAGCGUUAGCCGAAGUUAUUGGGUUUAAAGGGAGCGUAGAUGGGUUGUUAAGUCAGUUGUGAAAGUUUGCGGCUCAACCGUAAAAGUGAAAUUGAUACUGGCAGCCUUGAGUACAGUUGAGGUAGGCGGAAUUCGUGGUGUAGCGGUGAAAUGCUUAGAUAUCACGAAGAACUCCGAUUGCGAAGGCAGCCUACUAAACUGCCACUGACAUUGAUGCUCGAAAGUGUGGGUAUCAAACAGGAUUAGAUACCCUAGUAGUC